GGCCUUCGCUCGAAACGUCGAGGUUCUCCUUGUUUUGUUUUUUUCAGGUAGUUUUAUCCCAUCAGUCCGAAGCUUUCUCAUUAUAUUGGUCGGUCCGAGUACUAUUUAUCACUUUGCCUUGCCCAAAGAAGUGUCUAAUUUUACUGUUAUAACUAAAUCCGUAAAAGGAUAAAUAACCAAUUUCGACUCAUUUAAACCAGGAAAGCCGAAAGGAAAAUUGUAUAUCGACGCAUUGAAUACUAU